UCAACUGAUUCUUCAAAAAGAUUCCACUCAAAAUUCAAAUCUUUCAUUCAUCAGAUAGUGCUACUAGUCUCAUGAACUCUCAUAAAUGUGCCAAAUAAAGCUAGGACAGAUGUAAUUUUUAGGUAAAUAAUGAGACAAAUGUCUGUUUCAUAUUGAAUGUGUCACAACCCCUGCUCGGGACUCUUGUUUUGUGUUUCUGUUUGUUUUGUUCCUGUUUCCUGUUUAGCUUGUAGUCGGUUUGUAGUUUUCUGUGUUGAUUAGUUUCAUUGAUCGUUUCCCAGGUGUAUCUUGUUAUGCUUGUUUGCCCUUUGUGCCUGUCUGUAUUAAAGUCCUUGUGUUUCCCUUGUUCAGGGUCUGGUGUUGUCCUGUCUAGGCAGGUUUUUUUUUUUUUUUUUGUGGCGCGUGUUUCAGUUCUGUUCCUUCUUUAUGAUUUUCUCUGUUUUGAGUGUUUUGCCUCUUCCUUGUGUUUUGUUUAUUUCCUUUAAUAAAUUCUCUUUACUCUUCCCCAUCAUUUCUGCAUCCUCAUCAUGUUACAGAAUGGGUUAAAAUGUAAAAUAUGUGCCACAAGUGAAGGAGUCAUUGACAUGAGGGUUAAUGCCCUCAUACAGCGUGUCAGCUGCAGUGUGCUCCCUGGUGGAUGUGUGCUCUGCCAUGACUGCUAUGCCCAGCCUGUUUAGGAGGGGAAGUGUUUUCCUGCGAUCGUGCCAAAGGAGAGGAAAACACGUUCUGCUGCCACUGCAUGUCACUAAGGUCACAGAGGUAUGCUGCACCUCUGGGCUAGCAUGCAUUCCAGUGGCAUGUUUCUGUGAGCUGUGAGGCACAAAUGUGCAUCAAUAUAAGAGGGGGGGAGAGGAAAAAAGCAAGCUUCAAUUUUUUAUAUCCAUUUUUAUGGCUAAAGGGCUGCAAUGAAUAUCACUUGAUGACCUUGGCACCAGCGCAGGUUGUUGACGACUAUUAUAGUUUUAUUCUACAUUUUAUUGCUCAGAUUAAAGUAUGGAUUCACAGUGAAUUAAUGGUGCACUCAGUAUUUUUUUUAUUUAUUAUUAUUAUUUUUUUUUUAUGUUGCCAACAUUACUGUACAUGAAACCUAAUGCUGUAAAUGUUGCAUAAGUGUUCAAUAAUAGGGUGGUCAACAAGAUAAAGCAAGUAUAUUAUAGUAUUAUCAGCAGGAAAUAUGCUCAUGAAGCGAUAUGCUUCUAGCAAAAUAAAACAUUACAUAUUAUUUUAUAUAUACUUACAUUGUAUGUUUACUUACUGUAUAAACAAACACAUACACAAGUAAACACAAUACAGUGGUAAACAUACAAUAUAUUUCUUUACGCUCCAACAUUUUGGUUUGUGAUAUCACAAAUUUUGCUGAAAUUUUAUAUACUAUAUUUUUAAAAGGGUCACUGAAUUUGUUAUCUGCAAUAGUGCAAGUAAAAUAAUAAUCCUCACAUAAACACAUUAUGAUUAGUUAUACUGAGUGUUAUUUGUAUUUUAUACGUACGUAAGUUAACAUUGUUGAAAUGUUUAAACAAUUAUGUAAUAUAAAUUUCUUAUAAAACCAUG